GUGCUGGCAAAGGCCAAGGCAGCGCCCCUCUCCGGUCGUCCGUCCUCCCGGUGAGAAACAAUUGAGGAAGCACUGAAGCCAGUAUUAACCGUUCCAGUGCUGACAGCUCUGUGGCAGUACCAAAGUUUUAUUUUGUUCAUCGCUUACUUAUCCUCGCUACUUCUCUCGCCUAGGUAGGACCUUUCAUUGCGUCAAGGGAAAGAAAAGGCAGUUUCCUGGGUAGAAGAAAUUUGAUGCCAAUUCUGCACACCCAAAUUCCUGGCAGAUUAAUCAGCAAGUAGUACAGAGAGCUGCUUUCUUUAAAAAGCUUCAUUUAUCACUCAAACUGUGAAUGCUGAGAUGCCAAGGCACUGUGAAGAAAUGAUCCUUUAGAGAGGAAAAAACCCUCCUGAAAAAGAAGCUGGGACCUAGGAGCUCCAAGGAUUGUGCUCAUUGCAGGGCUCAUUGUUUUGUUUAAAUUGUAUCUUCAGAGGACAAGGUCUAAGAAAUAACUUUUUUUGGCAUAAGUGACUUCAGAAUGAAAAAUUUUAAAUAUGUAAUUGGAAUGGUUUCAAGAUGACUUAACUAUUAGUAAAUAGCUAACAUCUGUAUCUCAGAUAUUGUUUUGUGGAAGGAGAAGAUGAACUUGCUUGCUAACAGGCCAACUAAAAUAAAAUUGGGAGGAUGGCAGUGUGCACCCCAAAAAUAUGUUAUCAAAAAAUUAUUUACUGGGGUGCCUGGGUUGCUCAGUCAGUUAAGUGUCCAACUUAGGCUCAGGUUAUGACCUCACAGUUUGUGAAUUCGAGCCCCGCAUUGGGCUCUGUGCUGACAGCUCGGAGCCUGGAGACUGCUUCGGAUUCUGUGUCUCCCUCUCUCUCUACCCCUCCUCUGCUUGUGCUCUGUCUGUCUUUCUCUCUCUCUCAAAAAUAAAUAAACAUUAAAAAAACAAAAAAAAAUUAUUUACUAAGGCUAGAAGUCUUGGAGAAGGGAUUCUUUUUUUCCAAUUUUUAUUCACUUUAGAAUCCCGGCUCCUGAACCAAGUUCCCUUUUGCUGAAAGUUAAUACAAUAUAAAGGAGAGCUGUAGGCUGUGAAAAACAAUUGUGUAGGAAGUUGUAAGGCCCAGGGUUGAGAGACUGGCAGACAGCAGUGUAUCAGUCAGGCUCCAAGUAGGAAAACAGAAACCACUCUAAGUAUUUGGACAGAGGGAAUCCAACGCAGGGAAUCUGUGACACACUCAGAGAUCAGCAUCAGAGAAAGCCACUGCCAAAUGUCAUCAGAUACAGCUUUUAAAAUAAUGUUCAAGGAGGGGUGCCUAGGUGGCCCAGUCAGCUAAGCAUCUGUCUUCAGCUUGGGUCAUGAUCUCAUGGUUCGUGGAUUUGAACCCCACCUUGGGUUCACUGCUGUCAGUGCAGUGCCUCCUUUGGAUCCUCUGUCUCCUUCUCUCUCUGCCCCUCCCUCACACACUCUUUCUCUCUCCCUCCCUCUCUCUCUAUCCGUCCCUCCCUCCCUCUCUCAAAGAUAAAUAUUUAAAAAUUAAUAAAUAAAAUAAUGUUCAAGGAAAGUAAAGACAAAUUUGAGAACUUGGCAUACUAUAAAAAAGAAAACAAAUGGAAAGUCUCAAACUGAAAACCAGACUAUCUAUUUAAUGGCAGAUUACACAGCAAAUGAGAGACUUAGUGAACUAAAAUAGAAGUUAUAUCCAGAAUGAAGCCUGGGCAGGGAGUAGGGGACAGAGGGAUGGAAAUGGCAGGUUAAUAGACAUAGGAGAUAUGGUGAUAAGGUCUAACAUGCCUUUAUUGGAGUCACAGAAGGAAACAGAAAGAGAAGGGAUUAGAGAUAACAUUUGGGCACACAAACAGCUGAGAAUUUACCAAAACUGAAGAUACAAAUCCACAAAUUUAAAAGCCCAAAGAAUCUGAAGCAGCAUUACUAGGGGAAAAAUCCACACCCAAACAUAACAUAGUAAAACUGGAAUAAAUCAAAGACACAGAAAAAAACUUAACAGAAUGCAUUAAACAGGAGGAUGAGCAGCUGACUGCUCACCAGCCAGUGUAGCAGUCAGAAAUUGGUGGCUUGAUGCCUCCACUGUGACAAAAGGAUAUGACACUCAACUUAGAAUUAUAUUCCCAGAAAAAAAUAUCUUUUAAGAAUGAAAGUGG